UACGAAGGGGGCUAGCGUUGCUCGGAAUCACUGGGCGUAAAGCGCACGUAGGCGGCUUACUAAGUCAGGGGUGAAAUCCUGGAGCUCAACUCCAGAACUGCCUUUGAUACUGGUGAGCUUGAGUCCGGGAGAGGUGAGUGGAACUGCGAGUGUAGAGGUGAAAUUCGUAGAUAUUCGCAAGAACACCGGUGGCGAAGGCGGCCAACUGGACGGUGACUGACGCUGAGACGCGAAAGCGUGGGGAGCAAACAGG
rnacentral:rRNA from 1 species